CUGCUAAGCUAAGGGAGCUAGGAGCAGCGUGCUCGAGAAGACGGCACAUUUUGUGAGCCACGCGGCACGGCGUUGGGGUGUGUGUUUACGGACGAGUCCAGGGGGACGGUUGCAUCCGCCGGUUGCCGACCAGGAACACGGAGGACUGGAAGGUGGCAGUAUAUUGAGUGCUAGUUGCUGUUCUCUCUCUGGUUUUUUUCUUUUUCCUUUUUUUCUUUGCUGCUCCA